rnacentral:rRNA from 1 species
CAUAACGUCGCAAGACCAAAGAGGGGGCCUUCGGGCCUCUUGCCAUCGGAUGUGCCCAGAUGGGAUUAGCUAGUAGGUGGGGUAACGGCUCACCUAGGCGACGUCCCUAGCUGGUCUGAGAGGAUGACCAGCCACACUGGAACUGAGACAUAACGUCGCAAGACCAAAGAGGGGGCCUUCGGGCCUCUUGCCAUCGGAUGUGCCCAGAUGGGAUUAGCUAGUAGGUGGGGUAACGGCUCACCUAGGC